CUCUGAUCUUGACUUUUUGGUUCACCGUGAUGUGAACGGGAUUGGAUGUAAUCUCUCUUUUUUAUCAUCUUAAUAUAAUUUUCACCUUUAUGGAAAAAAAUAAAUAAAUUUUCAAAAUAUGAAAAAAGGGUGAACAAGAAAUUAUAUCAUAUUUACAAGAACAAAUAAGUUUUCAUGUAGGAAAUGAAUGUAAAAUAUGAUAUAAUUAUGUAAUAAUGAGAGGCAGGUGUUUGGACCAUGUUUCUUUGCCCAUACUCUCUUCUCAUAUCUUUCUCUUAUUGUUGUCCCAGUGUAAUUUCUUGUGACCAGAUGAUUUGUAUAACCUUUUUUUUUACAGGUUAUAACCUGAACUUUGCACUGGACCAAUUCUAAUGAUUCUUGAUCCAUUGUUUGUAGAGAAGAAAACAUCAUAAUUAGUGAUACCUUAUUUUUGUCCUCUUUCAUGUUCCAAACAUGAGCAUGAAUCAUUUGUCUGUUAACCACAUCACUGGUAACUGAGAAUGUUAGAGAUGUUGCAGGAUUUAGAGAUGAGACAACCUAUCAUGAGUCCUUGUAAAGAAGGUGGUCUUUUUUUAUUUGACACUGGACAAAGUGCCAUAUUUGAUUCUCAACUUAGGAUCCAAAUCUGAAUAUAAUAAGGCUUAAGUAUUUAAAUGAGGAUUCAGAUAACAUGCAUUAAAAUAAAACUACUUUUGAAACAACAAGGUUGGAUGUUGGAUUUUUAAGUUUAUAUAUCCAGUUACUAACUGAUGUUUAUAUUUGUGAAAAUUCAAUAAUUUAUGGAUGAAAUAGAAAUUUUAUUUAUGAAAUAACUUAUAGAUUUAAACUAUCUUUAUUGUGUCACAUAGUAACAUUAUUUGUUGAUUGAAUAAACUCUGUUAAGACUGCAAGUGUUAGAACUUGAAAAGGUAUAUUCACAUGAACAGUAAUGAGCUUUAGGAUUAGAUAGGGGAAAGGGUUUAAGGAGUUUCAAUCGUUGGCAUGUCAUAAAUAGUAAUGAACAAAGGUUGGAGAUUGUUAGGAUUAGAUAUGUGCAACAACCCUUGUCGAUAUUCAUGUUCUUGCUCACCUGCCUGCACGUGCAAUUCUAGUCAGGUUUCAGUUUUCAGGCAUGGAUCCUGCUAGAUGGUAAUCUGGUAUACUAUUAGGUGUAAAAAUCAGUAUACUACGGAUAUAGCUCCUAAUAUAAUCAAGAUAUCUUUAUUUUCAUUUGUCGUCCUUCAUAGUCCUGCAUAUUUCCUUGGGAAAAUUAUGGAAAAAGCUCCUCUUAUUAGAUUUUUUUUGGAAAGUGUCCUCAUUUUUUAAAUUUUCUAAUAUCAUCAAUUUUUUUUUCCUAAUACCUCGAAAACACUUGACUUGAUAGUUAGUCAUGUACUCUUUCUUCCUUCUAUUUCCUCCGUUUUCCUAUGGUUCGAUUCAUAGGAUGAAUCAAUUUAGAUACUAUGUUAGAGAGUUUUUUUUCUGGUAAUACAGGAAAACACUGACACAUUACAUAUUUUUUUCAUACAAAUUUUGUAAAAAUAAUAUUUUUAUACUAUAUUAUAGCGUUUCAACAAUAUCAGAAAAAUACUGUAACAUAGUGAAAAAAUUGUAUAACUGGACUAAUUCACCCUAUUGACCAAUCCAUAAGAAAAGGGACAGGUGACUAGGGGUAAUCCAGGUGUUAGGGGCAAAAAAAAUAAAAGAUGCUGUUAAGGAAUUUUAAAAAUGGAGGUACUUUUGAUUUUGGAAAAAAAAAGUUCAAAAGCGCUUUUUUUUUUUGUUGAGAAUUUAUCCUAUUUCUUUGACUUGAUGUUUCUUCACCAGCAUUAAAAUUUGCAACUACCUCAGUUCCAAAUUUGUUUUUCGAACUAAUACAAGCUUCUGAACUAUGUGUAGUAAAGAUUUUUGUAACAGUUUCAAGAAUUUAUAUUUCAUAGUCUUUUUCAACUUAAAAGCUUUUUAUUCAAUGUAUAUGUACCCUUGAGAGUGGUCAACAUGUUUUGCAGGUGGCAGGCUAGUAACUGUGUUCUGUGCUUGUGCAUGUUGCAUGAUGUGCAUGUUUGCUGGUUAGAUGCAUUGGUACAGUAUGAUUGACGUACACCGUUAUGGACCUACUUGGGAUAACUACACGCCCUAACAUAUGAUUGAUCUAAGUACAUCAACUGGCAUGACAUAGCAUAUUACGUACCACGAGACCUUGAUUGACAUAGGCACAUUAAUUGACAACUUUGAAUUGCAUUCGGUCACGUAACUGAUCUUUUGUAAGUACAUAAGUUGUACACGGAAGUUGAUAUAUUUCAACAAGUAUUUGUAAGUACAUAAAAAAAAUGAUUUUUUCAGUUACAAUGGAGGUACUGCUUUGUGUUGUUUUGAUCCACCUCAUACAUUUGUUACCAAGACUUAGUUAAUGUUGAUGAUCAAGUUCCUAUGGAUGCCUCUUUCUUAACUGGAGAAUAGAACUUAAUGGAACAUUUGAUCUUUGCUACUGAAAAAUCUGCCUUACCAUGAAUCUUUUGUUACUAGCUAGCAUGAUCCUUAUUUACUAGCACGUGGUACAUGACUUUGUUUAUGCAUGUGAAGAUAUGUUUAUCCCUCUUUUGUUUGGUUUUUACUUUUUAGUACUAUCGACAAAAGAAUUUGCAGAUGACAGGUUGAUCACUAAACUUCAUACUAAUAAUUUUGAUGACAUUUAUUUUAGUCACUUUAAUUGCCAAUUGUAGUGAAAGAAUCAGAAAUUGAUGUGUAAAAAUUACUUAUUUGCUACUUCCUACUUGUUUGUUAUAGAGCUAUGUUGAAAGAAGAUUGACAGCAACAAUUUAGGUUGCAUAAAAUUACAUGAUAACACAGAAAAUUAGUGUACAGCCAAACAAAGAGGAAAUUUUUUGUCGUUUGUUUAAUACACAAUGUCUAACCUAUAAAUAUAUAGGCAGACUCUACAAGCAGAAACGAAGCUGAUAGAAUUCUGAAAUGCAAUUUUUGAAGUUUGAACAAUGUCAACAUUUUACAUUUGGUGGUGACUCUUAGAUGGAAAACCAUCAAACACAAAUUUCAAUGGCCUGUGUGGUUGAAGUUGUGAACUAAAUCUGUCCAUGGUCAACUUAGCCUAAACAAGUUCCUUAUAUUGUCGUCUAAUCUAGCCUUGAGGUUUUUUUUUUGGUGUACAUACAAUGGGUCAGCUUGUAUUUUGAUUCAGAAGCUUCAUGUUGAAAAAUGUCUUAAUACUUUAUUCGAUGCAUGAUAUUUUGGUUUUCUCAUGACUCAUGGAAGUAUAUUAACUUCACCCACCGUAUAUAAUUCUCAAAAAACGUGGCUAUGGAUCCUGCUAGAUGUGAAAUUUGAUACUUUCACUUACCCACAUGCACGUGUGAUUCCAGUCAGGUUUUAGGUUUCAGGCGUGGAUCCUGCUAGAUGUGAAAUCUGAUAUAAUUCAGUAUAGUAUGGAUCCAUGCCCCUAGAUAUAACCAACACAUCUUUUAUUUGGCCUCAGACAGGUUCUGCAUAUUUCUUUUACUUGAUGUUUCUCCACCAGCAUUAAAAUUUGCAACAACCUUAGGUUCCAACUUUGUUUUUUCCAACUAAUGCAAGCUUUAGACGGAAGUAAUAAAGAAUCUUUGUAAUAGUUUCAAGAAUUUAUAAUGCAUGAUUUUUCAAAAGCUUUUUAUUCAAUGUGUAUGUACCUUGUAGAGUGAUCAACAAGUUUUGUAGGUAGCACAGUUCUGAAUUGUGCUCUGUGCUUGUGCAUUUUGCAUGAUGUACAUGUUUUCUGGUUAGCUACAGAUGCACCGAUACAGUCUGAUUGAUGCACACCAUCAGGUACCUACUUGCCCUAACAUGUGAUUGAUUGGACGAAGUACAUCAAUGGCAGGAUACCAUGUGAGACAUAGAUUGACGCAGUCAUAGCAAUUGGUACUUUGAACUGUAUUUGGUCACAUAACUGAUCUUUCUCAUGAUGUUGAUAGUUUUGAACGAGUAUUUUUAAGUACAUAGAAAAUGGAUCCAUGCUUGGUUUAGUUUGAAAUUAAAACUUAAUUUGCUUUAUUAAUGUCUACUUUAAAACUUAUUGUCAUGUUUUUAACUGAAGUUUAAAAUGCUAAAUGAAAACUUUUAACAAAAAUCAUACCUUAGUUGCAGAUAGAUCAGAGUGAAAGAGAGCUCUAAAUGAGAGGAAAGAUGCAGCCUCGUCAGAUCACUGAAUGAGAGAGAAAUAAAAAGAAAGAGAGAGGAAUCGAAGAGAUGGAAUGAAAGAGACAUUUUUAAGCACCAUGACAUGAUAACUUCGGUUAGGGGCCUUAAAUUCCUAGUUUUGUUCUUAUUCCAUUAUUUGUUCCCCUGUCUUGUUCACUAUUCUGUAUAACAAUUACAUGUAAAUGCAUCUAGAAACAAGUCUUAAGACUCUGGAAUGAUGUGAUAGAAUCCAGUAUGAAGACUAGUUAAUCUUUGAAUUGGCGAACUAUAUUGGUGGACUUCCACAAAAUGCUGGUUACAUAUGACUCAACUGGUGAAAAGCCAGUUCUGAUGUACUUUUGUGACGAUUGUGACCUUUAUUUAUACGAUGCUUUGAUUAUGAUUUGGACUUGGUUUUGUUGUUGUAGUUGCUGCUUGGAUUAUGAUCUGUUACUUUUUAAACUUACACUUGUUGUAACAGUAGCUAUAACAUAAACUUAUGUUAGUUUUUGUUAAUUCCUAGAUGUGCUUGCAAGUUACAGAUAAUUCCGAUGAGAUUUAGGAGACCAAGGAUAUUUACUGCAAGAUUCGUAAAUACACUGUGAUUUAAUGGUUUUUGGAGACAUGCUUCUGUAGAUCAUAGUUUUAUUAUAGAGUGUGUUAAUCCUUUCACAUUUUCUGUUAUUUGUUGUGGAAGGACUUUCCCAUGCCUAGCUUAAUUGCCAUCUGUCUGACACCUGAUUGGAAACAUACUCUUAGCUCUUGUAAUUUUAUUAUUGGCUAAUCCUUCAUUAGUAGAUUAUGCAAAAUUUUGCCUGUAAAUGUAUGGGGUUAUUAUGUUUAUGAUUUAAGCUUUAUUUUUUUAUCCGUCAGCAGUAAAAUAUAUUCUCAUCAAUUCCUUGCAUGUUUUUUUUUCUGAGCUUUUUGCAUUCAACUGUGAAUGUUUAUCGAUCUUUAGCUGUUAUCAUUUGACUGAAUUAUAGUUUUGUGAUCUAAUUCUCGUGCUACUCAAAGAUAAUAAAUAGUACCAAGUGAUGAUUUUCUGUCUGCCAGGAUAAGUUGUUGAUGAGGCUGCAGAAAGUAAUUUGUUGCUAUUAAGAUGCAGGCCCUACCUCUGUCAUCAAUGAAUACUAGUCAUGAGUCAUUGUUUGUUCUAUCGAUUUACUGUUUAACUAUUAUUGAUUUUGGACCUGCUAUAAUUUCUUUUCUUUAUCGUUAGAAAAAUGAAAAGAAAGCUAGAUGGCUUGGCUUCCAUGCUUUUGAGGGCUUCAGUGGAUCGAGUUGGUGCAUAAUCCAGGACUUGGUUUCAGUCUACUUGUUUGAUCUCCAGUGAUAACCCAGUUCUGGUGCAUGAAAGGAGGUAAAUCACCUUUUACAGUCACCAGAUAAUGAGCAUAGACUGGAAUGAGGAUGGAAACAUCAAAUGGCCAAAGAUCUAAAGGAUGCAAAUAUCAUUUCCAUCGCAAAACAAAGAUGCAAAUGCCUACAGAAGAACAUGUUCAGGGGAUUCAUUGGCUGCCACUAUAUCAGAGUUUCCAGCCACAAACUCCUCAAGGGUCAGAGCAGGGAGGGAGAGAAACUCCGGAGCUCCAUCCCGGUUGUGCAAUGUGAUAAUCGUCCUCGAUCCAUCGCAUCCAAUUGCAAACAACUGAGCCAUGCUCUUGAUCAGUCGCUGCAGCGCUGCAGAUAUGUUGUGCCUCGGAAGAGGAGGAAACCCCAGCGAUCUCUUCAUCUCCAACCUCGGUAAGCUCUCUUGUACACCUUUUGAUAACAAAAAGAAGUUUCUCCUGGUAUCAUUUACUGAAAGGAACACAGAAUGGCAUUGAGAGUAAGAAUGAGAAGUUUACUUUGCGAUGAUUGAGUGAUUCUGUCGGGGCUUUCUUGUGCUGCUUUCUAUCAACCGAAAUAUCUCAUUGCCUAUUAAUGGAGAUGGAAAGGGCACAAUGGAGUGCAACAGAAGAAAGAAGGGACCUGCAGACAGAAUGGCUUAUCAUGACAUGGGGAAGUGUUUGUUGAAAUCUCUGACGAUGGAUGUCAUUGACUUGGUCAGCAAGUUAGCAGAUCUACAUAGUCUAUAGCAGAGCAUAGACGUGUGGUUGGUUGCUACUUUACUCUUUGCUGGUUGCAGUGCCGUCUGUAGUCCGGUCUUGUGUUUCUGAGAAGCCUCCUAUGGUGUGGCAAAUAUGUGUAGCUAUUCUGUUGUGUCACUCACUGCCUCUCCCUUUUGAUCACUCAAAAUCUUAUCAAGAGUGCAAUCCAAGCAAUUCAUCCAAUCAUCCAGAACUGAUGCCAUCAUUUAGAAACAAGAUCAAGAACCUCCGAGUCAGUCAGGCGGUCACAGGAAAAAAAAAGAAAAAGGAAGAGAUAUGGGAGACUCCACUGUCGCUUUCUUUUGUUUGGAAUAUUGAAUGCUUUGGAGUGGACAAUGAUCAAGUACAAGUCACCAUCGGAAUCUAUAUCCAAGGAUGCUGCAGUCCUUGUGCUGGCCUUAAAAGCAAAUGGAGUUCGAGGGCUCCAGUUAAUUCUUUUGGAGUAUGUAACUUCAAUUCUUCUCUCCAAAAAAUAAUCGUCCCAUCCCAUGGAAAUUUUAUUGUG